CCUACGGGGGGCAGCAGUGGGGAAUAUUGGGCAAUGGGCGCAAGCCUGACCCAGCAACGCCGCGUGAAGGAAGAAGGCUUUCGGGUUGUAAACUUCUUUUCUCAGGGACGAAGCAAGUGACGGUACCUGAGGAAUAAGCCACGGCUAACUACGUGCCAGCAGCCGCGGUAAUACGGAGGUGGCAAGCGUUAUCCGGAUUUACUGGGUGUAAGGGGCGUGUAGGCGGGGACGCAAGUCAGAUGUGAAAACCAGGGGCUCAACCUGUGGCCUGCAUUUGAAACUGGGUGUCUUGAGUACUGGAGAGGCAGACGGAAUUCCUGGUGUAGCGGUGAAAUGCGUAGAUAUUAGGAGGAACACCAGUGGCGAAGGCGGUCUGCUGGACAGCAACUGACGCUGAGGCGCGAAAGCGUGGGGAGCAAACAGGAUUAGAUACCCCUGUAGUC
rnacentral:rRNA from 1 species